rnacentral:rRNA from 1 species
GAUGAACGCUGGCGGCGUGCCUAAUACAUGCAAGUCGAGCGAACAGACGAGGAGCUUGCUCCUCUGACGUUAGCGGCGGACGGGUGAGUAACACGUGGAUAACCUACCUAUAAGACUGGGAUAACUUCGGGAAACAGGAGCUAAUACCGGAUAAUAUAUUGAACCGCAUGGUUCAAUAGUGAAAGACGGUUUUGCUGUCACUUAUAGAUGGAUCCGCGCCGCAUUAGCUAGUUGGUAAGGUAACGGCUUACCAAGGCAACGAUGCGUAGCCGACCUGAGAGGGUGAUCGGCCACACUGGAUCUGAGACACGGUCCAGACUCCUACGGGAGGCAGCAGUAGGGAAUCUUCCGCAAUGGGCGAAAGCCUGACGGAGCAACGCCGCGUGAGUUAUGAAGGUCUUCGGUUCGUAAAACUCUGUUAUUAGGGAAGAACAAAUGUGUAAGUAACUAUGCACGUCUUGACGGUACCUAAUCAGAAAGCCACGGCUAACUACGUG